rnacentral:lncRNA from 1 species
CGUUUGCUUGGCAUGUGCAAGGCCCUGGGCUUAAUACCCAGCAAAGGAAACAAUUCCUGGCCCAGUUCUUAGACUAGCCCCCAGUUCUUUGACUCUCAUAUUUCUGUUUUCUCCAGGGAUUCGGAUUGUGAAACUCCUGUCCCUGUGAUGAUUUUUGACCCUUGCUUUCCAGUCUGCCUGGAAAUUACUCCCUGUUAAUUUGCACCUUGACCAUGACCUAUGCUACCUUCUCCCAGACCCUGCUUUGUUCCAUCUGCUGGAUUUCCAUUGUCAGGGUCCUGCCCAGGACUAACCUCUGCUCAUGAACAUCUUCUGGAAUGACUGUCUUGGCACUACUCAGGAGGUCAUACCUGGCACCAAAAGAAUAAGUUAAUAAGUAAAAAUCUUAGAUAAAAUAAAGAAAGAGCAGGAAGAAAAAUCUGUCUCAUUCUACAAUCCACCAAUUUUUCCUGAGUAAGUAUAAAAACUAAAAACUGCAUAUAUUUUAAUCAUUAAACAUAUCACUGAGCUAUUCCCUGGCAGAAAUAAUUCAUUUUUAAUAUAUAUAAUCUUUUUUCUGAAGCCAUAUAUACUUUCAUCAGCUGAGUAUGGGCUUUUAUAAUUAUUAUCCCUAUUCCCAUACAAUUAAAAGCCUUUAUGUAGAUAUAUAAUUAUCGAUAGGCAAAAGAAACACUAUACCGUUUCUGCAAUCCAUAAAAUGGCAAGUGGAAAAACUACUCAUUAAUUUAUAUUUACACUAUGGCAAUUAAAUUAGCAAUACCUGGAGCACAGAUGAAGAGAGCAAGGAGCCUUUACAGAAAGAGGCCUUUGCCCUGUUCAAGCUGUCAUGAUAUCAUACAGGCUUUUUGUGAUAACUAAGAAAUUUGUAUAUUGUUGUGACUAAAAUAUAGCUAAACUUUCAGUUUUGUCUAGUGUGUACAUGUAUGUUUAAUACAAUUAUCUGUCUCUCUGUUGCCACAUGUACAUACUUACUUCACAGUGAAGCACACAUAUACAUGUGUGAAUAUACAGGUUUUAUACUGAGAAAAACAUAUAUAUAUUCUAUAAAAUGUGUGAUAUAUACAUGUAUCCACACAUGCACAUACAGUGGUGAAAAUGAUAAUUUUAUGGCUUGCAUGAAUUUUAGCUCUUUUGUGACUCAUUCUUGGUUUCCCUCAGUUUGAAAGACACAAAUCACAACAUAAUAUAUAUGUUAUGCAUGUGCUACUGUAAUGAAGUAUCAUAUAAAUACACACAGAAAUUAUAGUCAUGAAAAGAACGGAACAAACCUAAUAUAACAGCUGUUUAACUUCUCUUUCUGCUUCCCUCGCAGGAUUAUUUGUCAGCUCUAAGGUCACUGACAGGCAGUACAUGGACUGAGUCAUUGGUACCUGCUUCACAGAUGUGGUGGGCAAAGAUAUCCUGUGGUGAGGAAGGGUGAGGGACACAGAAAGCGUCCAGACACUGGGAAUAAGUCUAUUAGUACUGCAAGGUUCUACCAUUUCUUAAGCUUCAGUGACUUUCAGCUUUAUUUCUUUCCCAUCACCCAUACACCAAAGUUUUAUUCCUAAGAUAUAGGAGACUGUUUUCCCUUACUUUUCCUUUUCCCCACCACCUUAAUGUCUUGUCUUUCAUUUCCACCUUUUCUUGAACUUAGAGUUUGUCCUGCCCUGCCUUACCUUGUCCUGUCCUUCCUUUCCCAUCCCUUCCAUUCCCUCCCCUUCCCCUCCUGCCCCCUCCUCUGUUCUCCUUUCCUCUCAUUUCUUUCUUUCUCUCUCUACUUCCUUCCCCUUCCCUCCUUCUCUGUCUUUCUCUCUGUGUAUCUGUCUCUCUAUGUCUGUCUCUCUAUGUCUGUCUGUCUGUCUGUCUGUCUGUCUCUCUCUCUCUCUCUCUCGCACAUCAACUCUUUUUAAAAUUUUUGGACAGGGUCUAAAUAAGUCUCUAGAUUUCCAGGCCUAAGUUAGAAUUUCUGAUCUUCCUCCCUCAGCCUUCCAGAGUGCUGGGAUUACUGGUAUGUAUCACCAUGCCUGGCUGAAUUUACUUUUUCAAUGUCAUAAAAGGCAGUAUAUUCAGGAUCUAGGCUCCAAGUUCAAGGCCAGGAAAAAUUAAGGAAUUUUCCCAAGGUUAUGCACAUGGGGAUGAGUGGAAUAAGAAUAAGAGUGGGGCUCGUGUAGUGGUGGCAUGCAAAUGAAUCCCCAGUUCUAGGACAGACAUUGUCCUGGGCUGUGAGGAAAUCCUAGUGAAUAAGAUGGGAAAGUUCUUAGAGAAUAAAAAGUCAUAUUCUAAAGGCAAAUGAUAUGAAAUAAGCAUAUAAUAAAUAAAUUAAUGGCAGAGGGGGAAAAAGCAUGGGAUGGGGACACAGACAGUGCUAUAUGGAGAUUAAUCAGUUAGCUUUCUGUCACUAUAACAAAAUAUCUGAGAGAAUUAACUUACAAAGAGAAAAGGUUUUACAAGUCCCAGCCCUGACAAGACUGACCCACUGCUUUGACUUGAAGAGUUGUAGAAAAUAACAACAUGCACAAGAUUUUUAUACUUAGGUGUUUGGAUUUCCUCUUGUUUCCUCUUUGCCUCCAUCUGAAGAGCAUUGGAGUGGGCUGAUGACAUGGAGGCUGAGAGACAGCGCCUCCAUUGCAUGAUUUAACCAUGCUUCUUCCAGAGCAAGGGGGUGCAUUGCCUCAUGACUUUCUGGGUGGGUUGGAUUUGUUUUUUGGCCUUCAUCAUUUACACUGGUCAUUGACACUACCAGACCUUUCUACCUAACUGCACACUUAAAAUGUGGUCACGCUUCUGUGACUCCCUUUGCACCAUGCCCUGGCUGCCCGAGUACCUUAAGAUCUCCAUUCCAGGCAGGCCUGGGCUAAGCUCUUGAAAAGUCUGGAACUAGCCACCACUCCUGCACUUACCUUUAGCAGUAACACACGUUUCUCCUUUUAAUGUUCAUGUGCGUUCCAUAUUUCCAGAUUGAAAACUCAUCUGGUUAAACAUCCUCAGACCAUAUUAUGAUGUUUACUGCAAGAGUAAUAUGAAUUCUCAAGAGGUUCUUUAAAUAACUCUGGCUAGGUAAAUAAAUAAAUGAUACCAGUUGUCAUUUACUGCACACCUACCAUGUCCCAGGAACACUUUUAAACUACUGACAUGUAUGCAUUUAGUGCUCACCAAACCCUCUAGUGUAGCUGUCCUGGUGAGGUGAAUUUGAGAGCAUUUGAACACCUGAACAGUAGCCGUGCCCCAGUCUGCAGCUUCUAGGUAAAAAGGAAGGGCCUGGCUUGGGAGAUAAUCUAUAAUUUUUAUAUAUGAAAAUUCAAGAUUUUAACAGUGUGGGGUAUAUGUGUGUAUAUUUUAUAUACUUAUUUUAUGGACACAUGUUAGACUAUGUUAUAACUACAUCAUACACUGUGAGAACUGAACAAAUGUGCUUCCUGGGCAGCGUACCACCUCAGGCCCAGCAAAGAGCCUCUAAGUCAACAGUCUACUCUGGGAUGGUGAGAAAAGCACAGCAUUGGAGCAGCUGUAUAACAGGGUGGUUACCUCUUCAUUUCAUGGACCCUUGAGAUCCUGAGUUUAGAUAGAAGUUAGUGGCAAACUGUCAGCUAGAUCACACUGUUGUGGGCAUUGGAAGUGUAUUCCUAGAGUUCGUUGCAAAUUAGGGGCUUGGUCCAUGCCAUUAAUUUCUUCUUUUUUUUUUUUUUUUUUGUACCAGGGAUCGAACUCGGGUCCUUGUGCUUGUGCAGCAGGUGGCAAAACCACUGAGCUAAAUCCCCGGCCCAUCAUUAAUUUAUUCUUUGGGAGGAAGCUCUGGGUAUGGAAACAAGGUCCUGGUACAUCCUAGGUGAAUGCUCCACCACUGAAGCAUACCCACAUCCCUCAGUCAGCUGAACAGGGCGCUGAGCCCACUCUCAGGGAAAUGGGGUCCACAAGAUUCUCUUCUUACUCUUACCCUCCACGGGAGCACCUGACCCAGCCCAAGGACUCAUUUUUUAUGUGAUAUUUGCAAGCUUCUCUAUCUAUACCUUUAUUCCUCCUGGGUAAAAAGUUUGAUAGGAAUGUAAGUGGGUAUCCUUGAAAGAAUAUUUCUAUUUUGACAGGGACCAGUGACUUUGAGUAGCUUGAGAGAAUACUCACGUGAGCCUGAGAAUGCCAUGAGAGAUUGGGCAUAGACACAUUCCCUUUUACCCACCAUGACUCCACAGCCUCCCUAGCUGUUUGUCUCUCUCUUCUACUGAGGCUUCAGGUAGUAUUCUUUUACAAAAAAGGGGCUCUGUGGCAAUGAUGAAGGUAUCUGGAAAAGUUAAAACCUUCCAGCCAAGUUCUAAGCAUCAAUCAUUUUGUUAUCAAUUUUCUGCAAAAAGUUGUGGAUUUUUUUCCCCUGCUCAUAAAUGCCUCCUAGAAAAAUAAGAGUUGCAGUAGGCACUUUCUUUUCCCCAGGCACAGAACUAUCAAACUUCUCAGCUGGAAUUCAGAGACAGUAAGCAAACUCCCUAAAUACUAACAUGGCAUACGAGCUGUUUUCCUGGCAGGAUGGUUUUGUGCCCAUCAACUUGGGAGUGCUAUGGCAACUCAGUGGGGCCUUGCUGAAUAGCAGUGGCACUGGGACUCUUCACUAAGGUCCUUCUGGUGCCAAGCAGUCCCCAAGUCAGAGCAUGUGCUGAUUUCAACAUUUGUUGUCACUGUAGAUAAAGAACAAUCAGCAAAGAUCCUGAUCCCAUGACCCAUUUCUCAAUUCUUCUGGUUUCUGGGAAUCAGCAUACUGAUUAUGUAGACUUGGCUGACUAGGAGAGGCUUGGGAUUCCCCUACUGGCUUAUGUCCUAUUUUGCAAAAUGAACAACUGUUUUCUUUUUCUUCCUCAUUUGCAAGGUAGGGAAAAUACUUCCUCUAGCCCUGUAGCAAAUCUCCUUACUUUGCAAUUGCAUCUUGGUGUUCUGCUAGGUUGGUUAGGUGAAUAGGGGUCUGGUGUCACAAGGCUAAAGAGAAGUGAGGGCCUGGAUAGUUCAUUUUUUUCUUCCUUAGCCUUUCCUUUUUCUUAUUCCCUCUUCUACCUUUCAUUUAUGUUUCAGGUUAUUUAAUGGAAAAUUGAAAGCAAUAUUUUAAGUAAAAUGCCUGCGUUCUCUUAAUGGGCAUGGCUGUGGCCAACAGACCUAUAGGUCGAAUGGCUAUGACACCAAGCAGUGGGCACAUACACGUGCGUCGGCCAGUGUGCCCAAAUCAAGUACUGUAUGUGUGUGGAACCACAUGCUCUUCUAGAGCUUUUCAGAGCCGGGUGUAUGCUGGGCUGCAAGUGUUUUUCACUUCUUUUUAGUUUUUAAAUGAAGACCCUUUUUAGUUAUCUACCUCGGAUACUCCAUGAAAUGGAAGAAUACCUCACUGCAUUUACCAACUCCAUUGUGUGGCUUAAUUGAUGGUCAGUGUGGGCCUUCUUUGGGUUUUCAGAAUGUGGGAGUUAAUCAUAGUGCUUCCGUUGCUCCCUUUGGCAAUUCUGAGGAGCUACGAGGAUCCUGAUUUGUUCGCUGCAGUUUUAAAUGACAGUGUGUGGGAAACAAAUCAAGGAGUUCUGAGUCUGGUGGAGCUGCAGCUAGGGGCCUGUUCGUACAACCUCCAUGUCCUCAUCUGUAAAGUGAAGGACAAGAAGCAUCUGCAGUCCAAGGCCCCUUCUGGACUCCUGGUUUGGUAUGUGCUGGGCCUGAUCCCCUGGGGUGAGUGGGAGUCUGUGUCUGUCUUGUGAUCUUGGCUAGAAUUUGUGAGGUUCUUCCCCCAUCAUCCGCAUUGUGUAUGGACUGGAAGAGCCCUGGAAACCCCAAAGCUGAUCCCAGAGGCCCUUAGGGAGAGCUCCAGUCCUGGAAAUAAGUUCUGUUUGGCAAAAUAAGUUCAUCUUCUCUUAAACUGUGUAGGCUUUCUAGGUUCUGCCAAAUGGAGAACCAGUGAGAAGUGUUCAUGAAUAGAAACUCACAUUUCUGCUCAGUAGAGCUCCUAAUGAUUAAAUGCCUUUUCAAAUAGGUACAUCAAAGGCAAACAAAUCAGGGUGUGGGACUCUGUUGUGGGUCUAUGAGAUCUGUUAUCAUGAGUUAAGUAUUUUUUAAAACGUGGUAUUGAGUCCAAGAGUCUACUCGAUUAUUAUGAAACUAAAAACACAUUACAUUCCAAAGAUAUUUUGGAAACAAUAGAUUUUGAUAUUCACCGGUGGCUUUUAUCAUUUCAACAAACUUGUAUUUAGAGAGCAGGUGGUGUCUGUGAGCCUAGACCAUGGAACUGGUGUUUAGUGGUGAAGCCGAUAAUUCUCCCACUUGCUUAAAAGAUUGAGCCGAGACAAGAGAUUUUUACCUGACUGUGUCUUCUGCCAGAAGCCAGAGAAAUGCACAAUCUUGGAACGCUGAGACGUGGAUACCGCAUGUCUAAUGGAUGGAAUCUUUUUUUGUCUGGGGUAGAAAUAUACAACUAUUGACUGUGUUACGCAUAUGGAGUAAAACUGAUUGCAGGUGGUACAACGGUUUCUUCCUUUCUGCCUCUCCACCUUCCCCUGGCACCAGUUUCCUAUGCUUGGAGAUACGAAUAAUGGGAGCCCAGUGAUCAUGAGAAAAUUCUACUGGGUUGAUGAACAACAACAGUGAAGGGCAGGAACAGUACAAAACCAGUACUGGGAGGACAACUGAGACCCAUAAUUACUCAGUGAGUUGACCUUGCCCUCCUCAGGACACCUGAUGUGCUGCUGAGCGAUAAAAUAUAUGGCUCUGGUAUCAGAUGCAAAUUCACAUCUCCCCACACUGGUAGGUUUCCUGUGAUCCUCAGGCCACGCACUCAUUGACACCCAUCUUUUUCAUUUGCAAUAUAAGUAUAUAAAAAUUAGAUUUUUGUGGGAUGAAAUGAUAGAGCUAUAACUAUUACUAUUAAUUUUUAGUCUGCAGUGUGUCAAGAACAUUAUCCUGACAUGAGUUCUCUUUAUGUACUAAUAUCUAUUUUAUUUUUUUAAAAAAUCUAUUUUAUUUCUAGUUUUCCAGUGAUCUCUGAUAAAAUCACAGGUACCACAGACCUGUGAUGCUCUAUUAAAAUCUAAACAUUUUUUUCUGAGUCAGAAAUAUUUUAAAAAAUCUCAGGAACUUCCCAUACAAGAGUUUAAUUAGGUAAACACAUCAAAGAAUAGCUUAGAUUAUUUUGUUUAUAGUCUCAAGAGAAAGUUCUAAAGGACAUACUCCUUUUAACUUUAAUACACUUUUCCAGGAUCCAUUGUUUUAUUUUGAUUUAUUCCUUAUAAGUACAUUUAAAUGACUGCUAUGAAAUGACAUUUAGGAUACAAAUAUUUUUAAUCUUAAUUUUUAAUAAUUUCUUGUCUUAAAACUCAUAAUAUUUUGAGUUCUAAUAAUAAAACUGGAAUUUUGAUUUUUACAAGUAAUAUCUCAACCAAGAAUCAUCAUAUACAAACCAAAAAAUUUUCAAGACAGUCUGGAUUGUAUUCAAAGUAACAAACAUUAUUCAAAAGUACAAAUUUCAUUCAUAUUUAUUGCAACUCUAUUCAUAACAGCUAAGAAAGGGAAGCAACUUGAGCAUCUAUCAACUGAUGAGUGAACAAGGAAAAUGGGUUAUGUAUACAUAAUGGAAUACUAUUCAUCCAUAAAGAAGGUUGAAAUCCUGUCAUUUGCAAUAUAACAUGAAUGGAAUUGUUGAUCUUUAUAUUAAGUGAAAUCAAUCAGGCACAAAAAAGACAAACAGCACAUGAUCUUGCUCAUAUGCAAAAUCUAAAUAUGUUGAUCUCAUAAAAGUUGUGAGUACAGAAUGAUACAUGUCGAAGAGAAUAGAGAGAGCACAAGGACAGGGAGAGGCUGGCCAAUGGGGAUGAAGUUGCAGUUAGACAGGAGUAAGAUAUUCUGGUGAGCUCCUGUAUGGCAGGGUAACUAGAUAACAAUAAAGUAGUGUAGAUUUUAAAAAGCUAGAAGAGAGGAUAUUGAAUAUCUGUUCCAUAAAAAUGAUAAAUGUUUGUGGAAAUGGACAUACUAACUCUGAUUUGAAUAUUAUACAAUGUAUGAAUGUAUCAAAACUUUACAUGGCUCCUCUUGAUGUGUAUAGUUUUGUAUUUCUAUCAUCAAUUAAAAAUAAAUUUCAAAAAUCCUCAAAAAUAAAUAAAUGACUCACUUGCUUGGCUGUGUUGACUUCUAUUUUCCAUAGUGACUAGAAAAAUCCAAAAGAACUGACUGAAUGUGUCAGAUAUCAUACAGACAGAAUUAGUCAAGAGAAAGUUGACUUCCUUAGAUAUACAUCUUCUCUUAUAUAGAGUCAGACCUAUCCAAAGUAAGAAGAGUGAGAUAAUACUUUAUUGUCUUUUUGUUCUUUUUAGCAUUUAAGGUAGUAGUAGUAGUUGCUGAUAUUUUCAUCGACAAAUAUAAAAUUUUUUUAGUAACUGUUUUUUUUGUCCUUGAGGCUGAACGUAUAACAGAGCCAAUCACGUUACUUCAUUCUGCAAGUGAGGGUAGUUGAUUGACAGAUGCCAUGUGGCCCAAGCUGAACUAAUCUGAAUUCUUCACUUGGCUUUGUUUUGCUGCAGCUAUCAGGGAAUACUUUCUUUCUUCCUAGGUUGAUAAGGAUGGGACUCCCAUACUUCAGGUAUUCAGUAAAUGCUUAACUUUGCCCACUGAAAGUUCAGCUCUUUGUUCACAGCUCCAAGGGUGGUGAACUCAAAACCCACAAGAUACUAUCCUUGAUAAGGAUGGCUGUAUGUAUCUGGGGUUUGAGACAGCCAGACUGUCUAUGCUAACAAUGCAAUUUUUGGUGAGGGCUUGGGCUAUGUGAUACCCCUCAAGCUAUAGAGGAGCUGGAGACAAAAGAUAGGCUCAUAAGUGAUCAAUGUGUCUACAUGGCAGACUCCUAACAAAAAAUCUGGACAACAAAACUUGGAUGAGCUUUCAUGGUUGGGAAUAUUCUGUGUGUGUUAUUACACAUCCUUGCUGAAAGAACAGUGUGCAUCCACCUAAUUUCACUAGGAAUGGGCAACUG